GACGAACGCUGGCGGCGUGCCUAACACAUGCAAGUCGAGCGGAGAUUCACGACGGAAGCGAAGUUUUCGGAUGGAGCGGAAGACGUGGAUUUCAGCGGCGGACGGGUGAGUAACGCGUGAGCAACCUGUCCCUUACAGGGGGAUAACACAGCGAAAGUUGUACUAAUACCGCAUAAGACCACGGUAAGACAUCUUACAGGGGUCAAAGGAGCAAUCCGGUAAGGGGUGGGCUCGCGUCCGAUUAGAUAGUUGGUGAGGUAACGGCCCACCAAGUCGACGAUCGGUAGCCGACCUGAGAGGGUGACCGGCCACAUUGGGACUGAGACACGGCCCAAACUCCUACGGGAGGCAGCAGUGGGGAAUAUUGCACAAUGGGGGAAACCCUGAUGCAGCGACGCCGCGUGAGUGAAGAAGUAUUCGGUAUGUAAAGUUCUAUCAGCAGGGAAGAUAAUGACGGUACCUGACUAAGAGCACCGGCUAAAUACGUGCCAGCAG
rnacentral:rRNA from 1 species